rnacentral:tRNA from 1 species
UUAUUAAUAGUUAAAAUGAAUAACACUAAAAUGCAAUUUUAGAAUUGACUGACUUUAUCUUAAUAAA